rnacentral:rRNA from 1 species
UACGUAGGGUGCAAGCGUUGUCCGGAUUUAUUGGGCGUAAAGAGCGUGUAGGCGGCUAGAUAGGUCCGUUGUGAAAACUCGAGGCUCAACCUCGAGACGUCGAUGGAAACCAUCUGGCUAGAGUCCGGAAGAGGAGAGUGGAAUUCCUGGUGUAGCGGUGAAAUGCGCAGAUAUCGGGAAGAACACCCGUGGCGAAGGCGGCUCUCUGGGACGGUACUGACGCUGAGACGCGAAAGCGUGGGGAGCGAACAGG